rnacentral:misc_RNA from 1 species
CAUGAACGACCAAAAUGGCGACUGCAUUUAGCUCUGGAAGCCAGAGCCCUACAUCACUUUCUCGGACUAUAGAUCGCGUAUUUGAAGAUGCACAACACACGGGUGAAAUUAACUUAAGUGGAAGGAAAUUAAAGGAGUAUCCCAAAAGUGUCUCCGCUAAAUAUGACUUGGUAGAUACGAUUGGAGCAGAUCUGUCAAAGAACAGACUGCAAGAUGUGCCAAAGGAGGUGUGUGACUUUGGGUCCAUGGAGAAGCUCAACUGCUACCACAAUGUACUCAAAUUUCUGCCCGACGCCUUGGUCCAACUUCAGGCCCUUACUCAUCUGAAUAUCAGUCGAAACCAGCUGUCCAUGAUCCCGACGUUUAUAUCCCAGUUACACCAACUGGAGGUCCUGAUUGCUAGUCACAAUAAGCUGGUCUCACUUCCUGAAGAGAUUGGUGUCCUGGAUAAACUCAUGGAAAUAGAUGUGAGUUGUAAUGAGAUUUCACACCUUCCUAGCCAGAUAGGAGACUUGAAGUCUCUCCGAUCCCUCAAUGUUCGGCGCAACCUUUUGAUUGAAUUACCAAUAGAAAUUAGUAAAUUAAAUCUACGAAAGCUGGACUUUUCAAGCAAUAAAAUCUCCAAGAUACCCACAUUGUUUCGAAAAAUAGAAACCUUAGAAGAAAUAGUCCUUGACAACAAUCCGUUAACCCAGCCACCAGCUCACGUAUGUACCAAAGGUAAACAGCACAUCAUGAAGUUCCUUCAGAUAGAGGCUAUCAGGGAGGAGAGGAAAAGAGGCGUCAUGAACGAUGCUGAAAUGAAACGUCUCAGAAAAUCUCUACCACCACAGCAGUCCCUAUCAUCAGAGGAAUUCCGCAACAUGUUGGAGUCACCAGAGAGUAAGGCCUGGAAACGUCACACGGUGCUGAGUAGUGACUCUGGGUACAGCACCACCGACAGCAUAGAGAAAUGUGGCUGGUCGACUACAGAGCAGACAAACGGAGACAUCAGCCACAUGGACGAGGCAUCUCAUCUCUCGCUGAAAACCGCAGAGAUGGUUCGGGAACAACGUCAUGUGAGAGAUUUGGACUAUCGUCACCGGCUGCUUCCGCACGAACUGAAACACCAUCCUCCUCCUCCAAUAACAUUGGUCCCACAAUCCGACUUACCACCCAAAUCUCCAGCCCUUACCCCCAAAACUCCUACCCCACAGCAUAACCAGCAUCCCAUGUAUUCACAGGCCCCUCCCCCACGUAGCCCGGAAGGCUACCAGUCGAGCAGUCCACAGCUGACCCCCGACACGCCGGUCGCUGUCCAAGCACAGGGCUUUGAUGACCAGAUUUCCAGGGAGCUUCAGCGUCAGAAAUCUGAUUAUGAACGAAGGAAGAAGAUGGCGGAGCAGCUGAGGAUGCAGCAGGAACAGGAGGAUGAAAAGGAGCAGCGUAGACGUGCCGCAAUCAGGCUGCAGGAGGAGCAGAGAGCACUGCUGGACCGGCAGCGCGGCGAGAUGCGCGCUCAGGAAGAUGCAAGGCUGGAAGCACAGAGACAGGAGGAGGUGCGGAAGAGAGAGGAGGCUCGACUACAGGAGGAAGCACAGAGACAGGAGGAAGCAAGGUUAAGGGAAGAUCAAAGACAGAAGGACGAAGCACGGAAGAUGGAAGAACAGAAACAGCAUGAGGAUUCACAAAAGUACAAAGUGGAAAACAAUUACGGGUACCUGCACAACACUUGGCAUGCACCUGACCCCCCGACCGGGUACUCUGGGUACUCAUCAACGGGGUACUCACCAACGGGGUACUCUCCUACAGGGUACUCGUAUGGGAAUCGCUAUGACAGCAGUCCAACGGAUACCUAUAGCAUGCAAUAUGGAAAACCAGGCCCUACGUCACAAAGUUUUAAAGAGGAGCGGAAAACGACGUCUAGUAACACCCAUUACCGAAGAACGGCAUCUGACAGUACCCCUAAACACCCCCAGUCAUCCAUCCCCCAUAAUCCCAGUCGCUCAAAUCAUGUUAAGAAUGGUCCCUCCAACCCAAGAAAUCCUUCUGGAUCAUCGUCCACGUCACUCGUGUCGCCAAGUCCUAGUCCCCGUUCGUCCAUCGGAUCCGCUGGACCGAGUCCAGCCUCAUCAACAUCGUCUGUCAAUAAAGCUGGUGAAUCAAAACAGAUUCCAAGUUCAGUGGCAAGACGAGGUAAAAUAUCCGAGCGUGUUGCUGCAUCCACGAACCCCACAAAGGGCCCUGCCGGUGUGGAGCGUCAUGGGCGAGCGACGACAGCAUCCACGACGGGUACUGUUGGUCGUCAACCAGCUAUGUCAAAAACGUUACCAACUACAGCAUCAACAAACAGUGCCAGGAAAAACCAUGUAACACCUGAGGAAGAGUUUCGACAGAAACACCAGUCUUUGAAGACUUCACAACAUCAGGAGGCACAGAGAGCCAAGUCACGCCUCGACGACCCAAACAAACUCCGCCAGACUCAGAGAGAGGCCGUCAACAACUUUGUAUCCAAGAGACAAAGCAGUACAUCAUCUGAUGAAGACAAGAAGAAAAUCCUGGCACCCCGCACCAGUUAUUCCUCUGUGUCUGCCAAACGUCAGGGAGCAGUCCUGUCAAAUAGCACGAUGAAAGUGAUAGACAGUUACAAGGACUCGGAUCCAAAUUUUACGAUCCGGCGGCAGAUGGAUCAACAGAGAGAGGAAGUUGAAACCAUGGAAAGUUUAAGAAGGACGAUUGAGACCAAGUUAAAGGUGACGCUUCCGGAAAAUAUCCAGGAUGUACUACGAGAUGGUGUGCUGCUUUGUCAGCUCGCAAACAGUAUCCGACCCCGCUCUGUCACCAGUAUACAUGUCCCUUCUCCAGCUGUGCCAAAACUCACCCUGGCCAAAUGUCGGAAAAAUGUGGAAAACUUUCUAGAGGCUUGUCGGAAAAUUGGAGUAAAUAGGGAUCAAAUUUGUGCUGCACAAGAUAUUUUGGAAGAGAAAGGGAUCUCGAGAGUAGCAGUGACCAUAUCUGCUCUAGUUGCCAUAGCAACCAAUCCGAGGUCCUCUAAUGUCUGACAGUAUCCGAGAAUGUCCAGACAAACAUCUAAAAUACAACGUCACAAAUACGGAAAGCUUAUAUUGAUGUCUGAUAUCGGUGUCAAUGUCUCUUUCCGCAUUUGGAGAGGUGAGCUGACUACAUGGGCUCAGGGCCAGAUCAAGCCAAUCUUAAAUGGUCAAAACUUUCAUACAAUUACCAUAUUUCGUAUGACCUGCCAUAUUUGGUAAAAACUACCACCUUCGUUAAAAAAAAGUAGGCUAUUGUCCUAAUUGAUUUUGCCAGCAUAAUUGGUAGGACCAGACAUAGGGCCAUUUUUUGGUAGAAUUACCAGAGCUUUAAGAUUGCAUGCACCACUACAACUGUCAGUUGUCGUCUGCUCUUCAGGAGAGCUGCAGAGGAACACGUUUGGUGCCUGGUUGCCUUCUGUUGGUAACUGCAUGGUAUUGUCUUAUGUUGUCUUAUACCAAUAUAUAUAAAAAGUAAGCUGCAUUAGUUGUGUUGACUACACCGUACAUCUUUGUAAGUUGUUGUCAUGCACUGGCAUCAGUGGCCACCAUUAAGUCAGGUGGCAUUGACAACUAAAGUGGAACAGUACCAAUACUAUCAGAUGCAAGUUGCAUUGGCAACUACUUUUCACUAUUGGUCAAAACCAAUAGUAUGAACUGCCUUAUAUGGUCUCUAUUGACAUGUCCGAUCUAGUCAAGGGCAGAUAAGUCUUGCUAGCUAUCAUGCAGCUGUUCUGAUGAUGACAACGUGUCUCCUGUGACACUACAGGCUGAUCAAUGACCAUACAUACAAUUUGUGAUAUUUUUUGUGACUUAUUUAAGUCUUGGUAAUUUUUUCUCUCUUGUCCUGCAUUUUACAGGGCAAAGUUUCUUGUUCUUCGUUUAGCCAUGAAAUAUAUGUAACCUUGUGAUCUAUAAGUUGAUAAAGUUUCUGCACCUAAUGACCCUAACCUACUGGAGUUGCACUCCCAAUUAAACCAGAGUGUUUAGUGUAUGCUAUGCCCUUUUUUUAUCUUUGUUAAACAUUUCUGCAUGACUGUGCUCAGAAACGCCCGUAAAUCAUACACACAUUUAUGUAGUAUACAGAGAAUGUAUUUAUGCCUUCAGUAACUACAGAUCAAGAUUUUUUACUAGAUACCUGUUAUUAAACAAGAAGAAGGAAAAAUAUAUAAAAAAAAAAAAGAAAUAUAACAAUGUUUCAACUUCAGAAGAAAACAAAAUUUAAGAAAGGAAAUGGUGGAUGUAUUUCGAAGAGAAAAGACAAUUUUUAUAAUAUAUAUCUUGUUAUAGUGGUUACAUAUAUGUAGACUUAAGGGAAUGUGUGAAGUACUAAUCAAAGGAGAUAUUACAUCUGUACAUACUGUAAUGGCUAGGUAAUAGGGGGUAAGGAGGGUAAAAUAUAGGUCAGAACUGGUUACUAUACAAUUUAGAAAAAACAAGAAGAUUACUUAUCCACAAUUAUUUUUCUGUACUACAAAAUUUGAGAAAUAAAAAUUGUCUUUUUCUGGUAAAUUGAAAGAUUGAAUUAAAAUGUGUGAGAUUAUUGCAUUGUUAAAUAAUAAUAAAAAUACUAAGGAUUUUCUUAUAAAAGAAUUUGGAUAUUAUUUGUAAAAAAGAUACAAAUUCUUUUAUGUCAUCAUGAAUAUGAUUGAGAUUGAUGUGACCAACCUUUCCCACUCUUUUACACUAAAAGAUAAAACAGUUAUCAAUGUAAAAUAUAACUUAGGUUUAAUGGUAUCAUUUACACUAGAUAUUGUUGAUCCUGUAAAAGAAGCAGGCCUCUUUGUUAAAUACAUACAGUUAUAUAAGAUGUUCAGAUAUUUAUGACAAAUAUUUUAAUUUGACUGCAGGCAGUCAAAAUAAGCUUCCAUUGAAGACAUGCUACAUAAACUAGGUCAAUCUUAAAUAUCCGUGUAGACAUCAUGCUACAUAAACUAGGUCGACCUUAAAUAUCCGUGUAGACAUCGUGCUACAUAAACUAGGUCGACCUUAAAUAUCCUUGUAGACAUCAUGCUACAUAAACUAAGUCAAUCUUAUAUAUCCGUGUAGACAUCAUGCUACAUAAACUAGGUCAAUCUUAAAUAUUCGUGUAGACAUCAUGCUACAUAAACUAGGUCAAUCUUAAAUAUCCGUGUAGCUGUCAUGCUACAUAAACUAGGUCAAUCUUAAAUAUCCGUGUAGACGUCAUGCUACAUAAACUAGGUCAAUCUUAAAUAUCCGUGUAGACGUCAUGCUACAUAAACUAGUUCAAUCUUAAAUAUCCUUGUAGACAUCAUGCUACAUAAACUACGUCAAUCUUAAAUAUCCUUGUAGACAUCAUGCUACAUAAACUAAGUCAAUCUUAAAUAUCUGUGUAGACAUCAUGCUACAUAAACUAGGUCAAUCAUCAAUAUCCGUGUAGACAUCAUGCUACAUAAACAAGAUUAAAAAAUACAUAAAUGGUAAGUAAAGAUUAAACACAUGUAGAACUGGUUGGAAUGAUGGAUGUUUCGGUAGUUAUUUGACCAUAGUAAUACAUUUACAUUCAAGUAUAAUCAGUAUCCUUUUGGAGGACAUUUAUCUGCUUAUUCUGUAUUAAAAUGCAGGUCCAAUUAUAGAUUCCCAACUAUGUUAUAGUUGUGCUCGGUGAUAAGCCCACCCCUUACUUUUGACCUAUUAAUGCACAGACUCGCUCGGCUGAUCACUGGUAAAAUAGCCGUACUAUAGAUAUAUAAUAGCUGUCUCCAUGGUGAUUUACAGACCUCCUACAUAGUGCUAGCUUACAAGUCCCUGCCACUCUACCAAGGCUUCUGGUGAUCUAUUAUCGGCCACAUCGAAACCAAUUGGAAAGCACUGCGUUCAUUAAUAAUGUCUCAAAGGAAUACUAUAUAUAAUUACAUAGUAUAUGUGUACAUGUAUAUACAUCAUAUAAGUUAAUUUUUUACUUUUGUUGAAAGACUUUGGCAUAGCAUUAUUUUUUGUUGGAGCAUAUCAAAAACCACUUUCAAAUACUUAAGUUUCUGUCUUUUGUAAACCAUGUUCGUCUUGUGUGUACAUUUUUAACUCCUUGUGGUAAAGUUUCGUGUAGAGGAGUUAUAAUGAUGGAGAUGGAAACAUUUUAUCAAAAGAGUUAUUAUCACAUGAGGAAUUUGAACAAGGAUUCAGACAUGGUACUGGAAGUGAAGAGAUAUUCUGUUUUCCACACUGUUGUCCGAAUGCCUUCAGAGCCCUGACUGGCAGGAACUUUAUGCCAAAUUCGAAACAUUGAAGGAAUUGAGAGGAUUGAGAAUGGUUUGGUUGUUAUGGCAACAUGUUCCACAGAAAAUGCUGAAUCUGUCAGUAUUUUCGCGCCUAAUAUGUAUGUUCCCGUUAGGCAAGCAAGGUACAACAUAUAAUUUUGAAAGAAGAUUCAGGAACACAUUUUUUUUAAAAUUGAUUUCCAAAUAAUAUUUGUGUUUCAAAGAUAACUGGAGGGGGGAUAAUGUGGAAGUGAAUGUUUCACUAAAUUGAAUUAGGAUUAUAAGAAAGAUAUUAAUCUUGGCUGAUUAUUUCACCACAUUGUGCAGUAUCUAAUGGAUCAUGUUUGUAUUCAUGAUUCAUGAUGUGCUUUUAAGUUUUUGGGUCUUUUGAACAAGAUGAAAAACAUUAACAAUGUAGUAUAUAGGUUAAAUCAAAGCUCGUUUGAACAUUGAGGAAAAUGUGAUGAUCUGUAUUGUUUUCCCAAUCCCCUACCAGAUAUUAUGGCGUAUCGUCUGUCUCCAGUGACUGCGUGUCUUCAGAGGCUAGAAUGUGAUGCUGGAGAAAUGUCUGGUUCCCAGGACGUAAACAAGUCAAUAAUUGUUCCUGAAGUAGAAGGUCCAACGACUUUGUUGAAGUUGUUGUGGCCUUGACAAGCUUUGAGAUAAAUGUUGUGUCGGACAUUGUGAUCCACUGGAAUAGGUCCAGGUAUAUUCUAUCAAAGUUAAUAGUCACAGCUCCAACGCAAAUCUAUAUGCUCAGUGUGUUUAAUAAAAAAAAAAGGGUUUGCUUAAUUUUCGAUCGUUACAUCAAAUUUUGUAUUGUUUUCCUGGUAAAAUAGGUAUCUUGAUAUAAUCAGUGUAGAACUGAAGUAAAGUAGGAUUAAGACAUGGUAGUUGUGGAAACACUGGGUUAAACUCUUUAGAUUCUCCUGGAAUGGUGUGCUGUCACCAGGAGGCAAUGUCCCUAGAUUCUCCUGGAAUGGUGUGCUGUGACCAGGAGGCAAUGUCAAAUGCAUACACAUUCUUUCUGGAAUAUUUGCAUUUGUUUUAGCAAUGUGGAAUAAAAGAUUCCGCAGAAAACAGUUAUUGAAGUCAUUCCCAUUUUUUAUAGAUUUUACGUAGUGUGGUUGUCUAGCUAUGAAUCGGGAAUUACAGACUCCUUUUCCGGCCUUCAGCUUCAGUUUUUGAAACUGCAGACAACAGCUGGAAUAUGCAAAUAUGUGUUGGGUCGUUGUCAAUGUGUUCUAUAGACCUUGUAUGUGAUGAAAGCCUCAAUAUUUGUGAUAUUGUUUUAAAUGUCUUCUCCUGCAAUGUUCAUCGGCCUGUUUGGCAUUACUUAUUAUUAUUUAUACCGGUUUUAAUUUACAGAUGUGUAAUAAUAGAAAAAAAGUGUAUAUUUUGUGUUCUAUCCAUGAUUUCUGUUCAUUCAGCAUGCUUUAUCUUGGAAUACAUUUUCAUUAUCAUGAUUGACUGUAUUACAAACAAUGCUUUUUAUAGGAAAUGUACCUUCAAAAACUAAACCAAAUAAAAAACUGACGAAAAGUGAAGAACUCUU